CCUACGGGAGGCAGCAGUGGGGAAUAUUGGACAAUGGGCGCAAGCCUGAUCCAGCAAUGCCGCGUGAGUGAUGAAGGCCUUAGGGUUGUAAAGCUCUUUUACCAGGGAUGAUAAUGACAGUACCUGGAGAAUAAGCUCCGGCUAACUCCGUGCCAGCAGCCGCGGUAAUACGGAGGGAGCUAGCGUUGUUCGGAAUUACUGGGCGUAAAGCGUACGUAGGCGGUUAUUCAAGUCAGAGGUGAAAGCCCGGGGCUCAACCCCGGAACUGCCUUUGAAACUAGGUAGCUAGAAUCUUGGAGAGGUCAGUGGAAUUCCGAGUGUAGAGGUGAAAUUCGUAGAUAUUCGGAAGAACACCAGUGGCGAAGGCGACUGACUGGACAAGUAUUGACGCUGAGGUACGAAAGCGUGGGGAGCAAACAGGAUUAGAUACCCUGGUAGUCCACGCCGUAAACGAUGAUAACUAGCUGUCCGGUCACUUGGUGACUGGGUGGCGCAGCUAACGCAUUAAGUUAUCCGCCUGGGGAGUACGGUCGCAAGAUUAAAACUCAAAUGAAUUGACGG
rnacentral:rRNA from 1 species